UACGUAGGGGGCAAGCGUUGUUCGGAUUCAUUGGGCGUAAAGGGUGCGUAGGCGGCGCGGUAAGUCGGGUGUGAAAUCUCGGAGCUUAACUCCGAAACUGCAUUCGAUACUGCCGUGCUUGAGGACUGGAGAGGAGACUGGAAUUUACGGUGUAGCGGUGAAAUGCGUAGAUAUCGGGAGGAACACCAGUGGCGAAGGCGACUACCUGGCCUGUUCUUGACGCUGAGGCGCGAAAGCUAGGGGAGCAAACGGG
rnacentral:rRNA from 1 species